GGAAUAGGGUGCCAUUUGGGAUGCCAGCUGACACAGAUAAAAUCAAAAGAGAAACACAUGCAUAUCAUUUGAGGAGCUCACAGAAGCCUGAACACUUAAGACAAGCAGCAACCAUUUUGGGAAUAACAAUACAACCAUGGAACUUUGGCUGUUACUCAUAAUGUUUUCAGAAAUAUGCAGCCUUUGCUCUGCAACAAGCACAACCUUAGAUCCUAAUAUGACAACAACAACCGAGGCUCCUACUACGACAACCGCGGCUGCUACCACGACAACCGAGGCUGCUACCACGACGACCGCAGCUCCUACCACAACAACCGAGGCUGCUACCACGUCAAGCGCAGCUCCUACUACGGCAAACGCAGCUCCUAUUUUGACAAACGCAGCUUCUACAACCGCAACUCCUGCUACGACACCCGCAGCUCCUACAAUCACAGCUCCUACUACGACAACCGCCGCUCCUACUACGACAUCUGCCGAUCCUACUACGACAUCUGUGGCACCUACUACGACAUCGGCAGCUCCUACUACGACAUCGACAGCACCUACUACAACAA